GAUGAACGCUAGCUACAGGCUUAACACAUGCAAGUCGCAGGGUAACAUGAGGAAAGCUCGCUUUCCUUGAUGACGACUGGCGCAUGGUGGAUUAACGCGUAUCUAACCUUCCCAUAACUACGGGAUAACCCGUUGAAAGAAGGCCUUAUACCGUAUGAUAUCGUUUGCUGACUUCAAAUAACUAUUAAAGGUUUAGCGGUUAUGGAUGGGGAGGCGUCUGAUUAGCUUGAUGGCGGGGUAACGGCCCACCAAGGCGACGAUCAGUAGGGGUGCUGAGAGGAAGGUACCCGACAUUGGAGAUGAGACACGGUCCAAACUCCUACGGGGGGGAGCAGUGAGGAGUAUUGGUCAAUGGGCGAGAGUCUGAACCAGCCGAGUAGCGGGCAGGACGACUGCCCUAUGGGUUGUAAACUGCUUUUAUGUAGGGAUAAAAUGCGUGACGCGUCAUGCAUUGCAGGUACCAAAUGAAUAAGGACCGGCUAAUUCCGUG
rnacentral:rRNA from 1 species